AUCUUUCAGUCCGUCUGUCUGUCUGCAGCACUGCCACUCGGUGCUGAGCCGCCACGACCGAACAGCAGAGGGAAGAUCUCACCACGAUAGAGACUCGCUGGGGAUUUAGGAAACCUCGCCUCUCACUUGGUCAGAGAUUUUCAUAACCAAAUGGAGCUUUUGAGAUCAUGGCUGAAUAUCCAAGGCUUCAGCCUUCCUAGUGUUUGGAUUUGCUGCUGAAAUGUCCGCAAGAGCUCAAGUAUGUCUGAAGAGAAGUAAAUACAGCACCUGUUCUGAAAGUGCCUGUGAGUGAAACAGGGCAUUCAAAAAUACCUGCAAAGACCCAGCCCACUGACCGUCUUCCUGGUCUCUGGUUAAAUGGUUUCACUGGCAAUGUGAAUAGAGAGCAGCCUUGAGGAUGAUUUUGGACCCAGAAUUUCUGUGUCAUCUGCAUUUAUUUAGAGCCAGAAUAGCUGGUUGAAUAUUACUUGUUGAGUAAUGUGACCUUGGGCUCCUUCCUACAGGCAGAGCCCAGGCAGCUCUUGCUGAAGCGUCGUUAUCAGAUUAGGAGACCACUGAAAUGGUUGGUCUGCUUUAUUUUCACACACGUGUUUCUUCUCCAUAUACAAAAACCAUAGUCGAGUGUCUGUAAUUCAAAUGCCUUUCAAUUAGUCUAGUCCUGCAGAAUCAUUCAUCAACAUAAAAGCCACGGUCUGGCACUCCAAAUAUAGGAAGUAAAUUGAAUUGCUUUGUAUUAGUCAUAAAAGCCACCAUGACAAUACUGUGACUGUCACUAGUACAUUUUCCUAGCUUUGCAUGGCUUUAAUAUAUUAAUGUGAGAAGUGUGACCUUUAAACGACCUUGAAUGAGUAAGCCUUCAAAGUACAUUUACUGCGUGCUGGCAGGCCAGGCACUGUUCCAGGCACCAGGGAUGCCCAGGGGCCCUGGCCUCUUGGAGCUGUGUUCCUAUAGAGUGAAACAGGUAACAAAAAGUAAAAAGUGAGCAUAUCAGAUGGUGAAAAACCAUUACAAAGAAAAUUAAAAGAAUGUGAUAGAAAUUGGACUGUUUCGGGUUAAUUUGGUUGAGAAAUCAGGCCCUGAGAAGAUCUCAGGAGGGGAUUUCAGGAAGAGGGGAGCCCUGGUGAGGCUCCGGGGGCAGACGUGAGCUGGGUGGUUCUCGCGAGAGGGACCACUCAGAGUGAUGCUUCCUCCGGUGGGGGAGGGGCGCUUGGGAGGAACCGAGGUCAGGACGGUGAGACCCGCAGGUGGGGUGCGAAGUUCUCACGGAACCCAGGUCUGCACCUGGACUUGCAUCUUCCGUAAUUUCUCAUGUGUGUUUAAAUUGUUUAGCUUUUCUGUUGAAUUAUUUUUAUGUCCUAAGAAGAUAGUUCUCUCUGUAUCACUGAAGAAUAUAGAAAAAAAUAAGUAUUUCUCAAUAUUUUUGCUUUAAGAGGAAAUUGGAACAUAUUACAUCACUCUAAAUAGAGAAAA